rnacentral:rRNA from 1 species
CGGGUGAGUAACGCGUGAGUAACCUGCCUUACACAAGGGGAUAGCCUUUGGAAACGAAGAAUAAUACCCUAUAAAACCAUAAAAGCACAUGCUAGAAUGGUCAAAGUGACAGCGGUGUAAGAUGGACUUGCGUCUGAUUAGCUAGUUGGUGAGAUAAAAGCUCACCAAGGCAACGAUCAGUAGCCGGCUUGAGAGAGUGUACGGCCACAUUGGGACUGAGACACGGCCCAG